UAUGUACACGCCGUGAAUUUGCUCGUUGGGUGGUUUCUGCAAGCAAUACUCUGUCGAGGAACUCAGCAUCAAAAGUAUAUCCUGCCAUGUACAUUGAGAAUGUUACUGAACUUGCAUUUGACGAUAUCACACCUGAAGAUCCUGACUUUCCAUUCAUUCAAGGUUUGGCAGAGGCAGGACUUAUUUCAAGCAACCUCUCUAACCAAAACGUGCCUUCUACUGAGAGCAGUCG